rnacentral:misc_RNA from 1 species
AUGCGAUACGUAAUGUGAAUUGCAGAAUUCCGUGAAUCAUCGAAUCUUUGAACGCAUAUUGCACUCUGUUUCGGCAGAGUAUGCCUGUUUGAGAAUCUAUAGUAUUCAUUUAUAACUUUAAACUUGUUUUAAUGUUGUAAGAAAUGAGGUUCUCUACCAAGAGUUCCUUUAAAUAUAUAGCUGGUUAAGAUCUUUAAAUGUUUGAAGCAUGACAAAGUCUACCGAAAAGUAUGUGAAUGAAUUUCGGUUCUCUCUUGCUUAAUAGGAGGCUGUUGUGUUUAGUUUAGGGAGAUGAGUCAGUCCAUAAAUUCUAAGACCGGUUUGGUUAACCGGACCGGUCUUGAACCAUGGUCUCAAAUCAGGUAGGAAGACCCGCUGAACUUAA